GACGCCCAUACAACCGCCCCACACCGUGCUUUGCAUGCAUUGUGGGGUGAUACAUGUGGCGGAGAU
rnacentral:snoRNA from 22 species